rnacentral:rRNA from 1 species
AUGAGUAGCCGCCGCCGCCGCCACGCCCGCUCGCCGGCGUCCGCGCCGCUGGACGACGACGACCUCCUCUGCGAGAUCCUGCUCCGCCUUCCCCCGCAGCCCUCCUCCCUCCCUGGCGCCUCCCUCGUCUGCAAGCGCUGGCGCUGCCUCGUCUCCGACCCCGGCUUCUUCCGCCGAUUCCGCCUCCGCCACCGCCGCAACCCUCCCCUCCUCGGCUUCUUCGACAGAUUUGAUAUCCUCUCCUUCCUGCCCACUCUGGAGGCCCCCAAUCGUGUUCCCUGCGAGCGCUUCUCCUUCCAGUGCCCCGACUUCGGCAGCUGCUCCAGCUCCCUUGGAUGCCGCGAUGGCCUCAUGCUCCUCUUCCUCCGUGAGCGUCUCCAGGUCCUGGUGUGGGACCCCGUCACCGGCGACCAGCACCGCAUUGCCAUUCCUGCAGCGUUCGAUGACAAGAAAACCCUGAUCGGCCUGAUCAAUGGGGCGGUUCUUCGUGCUGCCGAAGACGCCCGACACUUCCAGGUGGUCUUGGUAGUCGCAGAUGGCGACGACGAACAACAUAUACGGGCGCUUGCUUGUGUUUACUCGUCAAAGACUGGCUUAUGGGGAAAUCUGAUCUCAACACCGAUUCCAUACCAGCCUUCUGAUAGUUCAUUCCGUGUCCCUACCAUGGUUUAUACAGAUGAUGCUGUGCUGGCUGGAGGUUCCCUUUACUGGAAGCUUGCUGGGAAUAUGACUGGAAUUCUUGCAUUCGAUUUGGAGAAGCAGAGUCUAGCUGUGAUACGGGUGCCAGUGGAUAUGUAUGGCGAGGGAAAGUGCUUCAAGGUUAUGCGGGCCGAGGUUGGUGGGCUGGGUUUCCUUGUUGUUUCGGAAUCUGACUACACUGCCAAGUUAUGGAAGAGGAACACUGAUUGUGAUGGUGUCGCUUCGUGGGAGCUUGGAAGAACUAUUGAACUGGACAAGCUACUUCCCCUGAAAUCGGAGGAGAAAGAGCCCCUUGCAAUACUGGGAUUUGCUGAGCAGAAUAAUGUGAUGUUUCUGUGGACAGUUAUCGGCGUCUUGAUGAUCCAGCUUGAGUCAUUGGAGUUCAAGAAUCUUUAUAAAACCAUGAUCUUUUCUUACUAUCAUCCAUUUGAAAGUGUCUACAGUGCAGGAACAUGUGUUUCUGGUGGACACGACAGGGCUAAGCUAUUGGUCAAUACGUAA